rnacentral:rRNA from 1 species
UACGUAGGGGGCAAGCGUUGUUCGGAAUUACUGGGCGUAAAGGGCGCGUAGGCGGCCUGCUAAGUCGAACGUGAAAUCCCCGGGCUCAACCCGGGAACUGCGUCCGAUACUGGAAGGCUUGAAUCCGGGAGAGGGAUGCGGAAGUUCCAGGUGUAGCGGUGAAAUGCGUGAGAUAUCUGGAGGAACACCGGUGGCGAAGGCGGCAUCCUGGACCGGCAUUGACGCUGAGGCGCGAAAGCCAGGGGAGCAAAGCGGG